GACGAACGCUGGCGGCGUGCUUAACACAUGCAAGUCGAACGGAAAGGCCCUGCUUGCAGGGUGCUCGAGUGGCGAACGGGUGAGUAACACGUGGGUGAUCUGCCCCUUACUUUGGGAUAAGCCUGGGAAACUGGGUCUAAUACUGGAUAGGACCAUGCUGUAGGUGGUGUGGUGGAAAGAUUAGUUUCGGUAAGGGAUGAGCUCGCGGCCUAUCAGCUUGUUGGUGGGGUAAUGGCCUACCAAGGCGUCGACGGGUAGCCGGCCUGAGAGGGUGGACAGCCACAUUGGGACUGAGAUACGGCCCAGACUCCUACGGGAGGCAGCAGUGGGGAAUAUUGCACAAUGGGCGCAAGCCUGAUGCAGCGACGCCGCGUGGGGGAUGACGGCCUUCGGGUUGUAAACUCCUUUCAGCCAUGACGAAGCCCUUGUGGUGACGGUAGUGGUAGAAGAAGCACCGGCUAACUACGUG
rnacentral:rRNA from 1 species